rnacentral:rRNA from 1 species
AGAACGAACGCUGGCGGCAUGCUUAACACACGCAAGUCGAACGAGACCUUCGGGUCUAGUGGCGCACGGGUGCGUAACGCGUGGGAAUCUGCCCUUUGCUACGGAAUAACUCAGAGAAAUUUGUGCUAAUACCGUAUGAUGUCGAAAGACCAAAGAUUUAUCGGCAAAGGAUGAGCCCGCGUAAGAUUAGCUUGUUGGUGAGGUAAAGGCUCACCAAGGCGACGAUCUUUAGCUGGUCUGAGAGGAUGAUCAGCCACACUGGGACUGAGACACGGCCCAGACUCCUACGGGAGGCAGCAGUGGGGAAUAUUGGACAAUGGGCGAAAGCCUGAUCCAGCAAUGCCGCGUGAGUGAUGAAGGCCUUAGGGUGUAAAGCUCUUUACCCGGAUGAUAAUGACAGUACCGGAAGAAUAAGCUCCGGCUAACUCCGUGCCAGCAGCCGAC